GCCUGAGUGGCUCAGUCAAUUAAGCAUCUGACUUCCACUCAGGUCAGGAUAUCUCGAUUCGUGAGUUCAAGCCCCGCAUCAGGCU
rnacentral:tRNA from 1 species